GACGAACGCUGGCGGCGUGCCUCAAACAUGCAAGUCGAGCGAGGCUAUGAAUUACCGCAAGGUAAGGCAUAGCCUAGCGGCGAACGGGUGAGUAACACGUGAGCAACCUGGCUCUAAGAGGGGGACAACAGUUGGAAACGACUGCUAAUACCGCAUAACGUAUCGGGAUGGCAUCUUCCUGAUACCAAAGAUUUUANCGCUUAGAGAUGGGCUCGCGUCUGAUUAGAUAGUUGGCGGGGUAACGCCCACAAGUCGACGAUCAGUAGCCGGACUGAGAGGUUGAACGGCCACAUUGGGACUGAGACACGGCCAGACUCCUA
rnacentral:rRNA from 1 species